CUAGGGGUAGUAUAUUGAUGUACAUAAAAUUUUGGAUUUUAUAGUACAGGCUCGGCACCUGUUCUCUGGU
rnacentral:tRNA from 1 species